AUUUAAUCUCUCCCGUCAUCGAUCGACCUUCCUCAAGACCGCGAUUCUAACCUAACUUUGUUAUUGUUUGAAUUUUGAAUAUUUUUAAUUCAGUUCCAACAUAUAUUUUUUGUUUUUCUGAUUACAAUAAAAAUGUAUGAAGAAGUAAAAGCAUUUGUAGAGUUUAUUGAUAAUAUUGGAGAAGAAAAUCGCCCGGGAAGUAUACAAAAGCAAUAUAUUCAAGAUAAAAAUAUAAUCUAAAAUACAAUGGAGUAUUACAAUAUUGAAGUUCAUCAGCGAAUCAGCGCAUUAACUUAAACAACAACAGCCUUAUUAAUAAAAAUUGCUUAGUUCGACGUUAGUCUCGGACUACUUAGUUCGAGAUUAAGCGAGUAAUUAAUCUUCAUUUUAAGAUUGUCAUUAAUAAACACGGACUAACUAAACCUUCCUUAGUCCUAGUUACAACAAAUUUAUGUUGGUAACCCUUGCGAAAAAGAAGAGAAAUGGAGAGAAUUUUGCGAAAAAGAAGAAAAUGUAGAGGAUUUAACCUCUCUUUCCUCUAAACCGAACAGCUGUUCGGUCGGUGCCAUUUCUGCAUAAAUUUUAGUUAAUUUUUGUUGGACUUCGUUCUGAGAAGGUGUUACCUGGUGUUUUAUAUUUUAUAUUAUUGUAUUAUUGUUUUGUAUUUCAUAUUAACUGCUGUACCUUUUGAAAAUCGGUAUUUGACUUUAAAUUUACCUUCUAAUUCCUCUAAACUAAAGAUUUUUUUAUAAUUUUGUAUAUUUUGAUGUGACUCACAAGAGGAAUAUCGUUCCGCUGAUUUCUAUCCUCAUUUAAUUCGUCUAUUAAUUAUCUUUAAUCAUUAAUAAAAUAAUAUCUCUCCAUUAUCAAUAAUAACAAUGCAUUAUACAUGCAAGCAAAAGCAAAUAAUGCAUUUAGCAAGUUUGUAAGGUUAUGAAUACAAAACGUCAAGAUAGUCCAUCGUUAGUCGCUGUUUAUUAAUAGGGAAAAUGACUUAGUCCUCGGACUAAAGUUAGUCGGGCGUUAGUCCGUGUUUAUUAAUAAGGCUGCAAAGGUUUUAUGCUACUUAUAGGAAUAUAACCAGUUUUUAUGAGGAAGCCCACUUUCCAAAAAUGUACAGGUACUGUAAAGACAUACAAUAUAUGUUAUUCAGGCUCUUAUUAUGUAAAUGAAUUUGUAGGUACUAGAAGAGAAAUUAUGUAUAUUAUUGUUCAACAACAAGGUUAUCAAGUCAUUCAAUAUUUGAUCUAAGAGCAUUAAGAGUGAAAUUGUGAAAUGGAAAGAAUGAAAUUCCAGGAUUAUUAAUAGGAAUAGAUGACAGUAGUGGGUAUGCAUGCAGACACUAUCUACUUACCCCAGUAUUACAGCCAGGUAAUGAUCAAGAAAAUAAGAUAUUUUUACCAUAGUACUCAUGUGAGAACAAGAAAUGUAGAAAAGCUAUUUGGAACCUGGAAAAGAGAGUUUCCUUGUCUUCAACAAGGUCUACAAACCAAAUUAUAUACAUGUCUUGCAAUAAUAUGUGCUACAGCAGUACCUUACAAUCUAGGUAAAUAAUGAUCUGGUGGUAAAUAGACAUGUUAAUGAUGUGGAACAAUCUCUAAAUUUUUGGUGACAUUUUUUCAACAAUAUUUUGCAUGAGAAUAUAUUAUUGAAUACCUACUCUUAUUGUGUUUGAUUUUUUUGUCUAUUAUAUUUCUCAAAAUGUCAUCAUGAUCAUUGUUCGACAACCCUUUUUGUUUGAGUUUUGGUCUCUUGAGGAAUACAGCUCCAUUCCAGUCUAUUUCAGGAUUUGUUCUUACAAUUUUUUAUUUUUAAAAUAUCAAUGUCUUAUUCUAUUUGUUCCUUUUAUCUAAUCUAUAGUCUUUCUCUCGUUAUAUGUCCAGCUGACAUUUGUGUGUUUAUUUUAGAAAGUAUUUCAUAUGCUUCCAUCCUUCCUCUUAGAACGUGGUCCUAUUUUGAUGAAUGUAUAUGGAUCGUGGUAUGCCCUGUAUAGUUCAAAAUUAUAUUUCAUAUGCUUCCAUCCUUCCUCAUAGAACGUGGUCCUAUUUUGAUGAAUGUAUAUGGAUCGUGGUAUGCCCUGUAUAGUUCAAAAUUAUAUUUCAUAUGCUUCCAUCCUUCCUCUUAGAACGUGGUCCUAUUUUGAUGAAUGUAUAUGGAUCGUGGUAUGCCCUGUAUAGUUCAAAAUUAUAUCUUCUCUGGUCUUCAUAUUUUAGAUGCUAUUUAGCCUGAUUCUAGUGCUUUAUCGUUGUUUCCAGUGCUUUAUCAAUUUAUCAUCGUUUAUUUUACCUACCUGUCUACUGCUACUCUACUUUUGAACUUUCACCAUAUAUUUUUUGGAUAUAAAUAUAUAGUAACCUUCUGUCUUUCUCUUGUUCAACUGGAAUUUGUUUAUUUAUUCUGAGAAUACAUUAUUGAAUCUGUAUUAUGUUAGAUAUAUUAUUUUUUAUUUUAUUUCUUAAUAUCUAUUUUUUAUAUUUUAUUUUAAAAUAAAUGAGUAUGAGUUUCCCUCUUCUUAAAUAAGUAUUUAUUUGACAAACCUUUCCUUACCAAAUAUAAAAUUAAUUACACAUCUGGACCUCGGAGGUAAACUACACUAUGUCAUUUCGAGCAACUGUGUUUAGCGUGUGUUUGCAACAAAGUUUAGAGCACUUAGGAUGUUAAUAAACAUCUGAUAUAUCCCAUAAUUAGUUGAAAGACAAUAUGACAAUAUUUUAAUGAUAAUAUAUAACCAAUGUGUAUAAUCCAACUAAUAAAAAAACACCAUGUCAGUGGUGAUCUACACAACAUAGUGUAGAUUACCUCCGCCCUAACAAGACAAAACAUUCCAGGAAUGUACUAUCAAAGUUCUAUUAAUGUUUGAAUGUACUGGACAUUCAAGGAACAUUCGGUGAAUAUCUGAUUAAGUUAUUCGUGGAAUGUUACCACAAGACAUUCUAUGAACAUACUACCAAUGUCCUAUAUUUUAAGAGAGGCCAUUUACUAUUCAAUUUGCAUUCAUUUUCAAAUUUGCUGCGCGUGUAUAUGUAUUUAGGCAAUCCAAACCACUUGACUUCUGGUUCUGGUUGGCAUGGCAUACAGGUUACAGAGAUUAUGUUUGUAAUAUCAUUUCAUUUCAUCAUUUCACUGUUUAUCGUCAUAUUUUGGAUUCAUUUGGAUUUCGUUUGCUGUAUUUUGUGAACUUUAUAAACUUUACCACACUGCAAAGUGAUUAUUUAAGGAAAUUAUUAUUGGAGACACCAGAUGUUUGGAGAAAGGUAGGGCAAACAAUUUUUAUCAAUGUUCAUUUUUCUCUGAUAUUUAUCAAUAUUGAUGAAGUUUGCAAGCAAUAACAUUAUUUCUUUUAUUGUUUUAGAUAUUUAUUGAAGCUGAAAAUAAUUGGGGAUUUAGAUCCAUAUACAAUUCAGUCAGAAUUGGAUUUUACCAUAAAGUGCAUUCCACCAAAUUACUAUUAUAGAUAUUAUAGAUGAAAGCAUACAAAAGCCUUCAGGCAUAUAAAUAUUUUACAGCUGGAUUUGUUUUUAAAGUUGGAGUAAAGUUGGAAGUCACAAGCAACAACUUCGUAAGUACCUACAAGAAUAUUGAGGAAAUCCAGCUCCUGGAUACUACUGGGCAAACUAGAAAAUUGAAGAGGACAAAGCCUUUUGAACUAGUUUGAGUGAUAGUGAAAAGCAGAGCAUAAUGCUUGUGUGCAUGUGUAUGUUAGAAUAGUGCGGUUAGAAAAGCAGAGCAUAGUGCUUACGUGCCUGUUAGAUUAGAUAAGAGACGCUAUGGGUAAGCUCUUCAUUUUAAGGAACAGUAGUAAUUUAGGUUAAAUUAAAAUUGCUCAUUGGUCAGAGUUAUGACCAGAUUGUAAUUCUAAUGAACAAUUCAAUACAAUGAAUCGUCAUCGUAGUGAUGAUUAUGGAAAAAAAUAUAUGACAAGAUUUUGUGCAAUAAAAAUGUUUAUAUUUA